GGACCUACGGGAGGCGACAGUGGGGGAUAUUGCACAAUGGGGGAAACCCUGAUGCAGCGACGCCGCGUGGGCGAAGAAGUAUUUCGGUAUGUAAAGCCCUAUCAGCAGGGAAGAAGAAAUGACGGUACCUGAGUAAGAAGCACCGGCUAAAUACGUGCCAGCAGCCGCGGUAAUACGUAUGGUGCAAGCGUUAUCCGGAUUUACUGGGUGUAAAGGGAGCGCAGGCGGCACGGCAAGCCUGAUGUGAAAGCCCGCGGCCCAACCGCGGGACGGCAUUGGGAACUACCGGGUGGGCGUGCAGGCGG
rnacentral:rRNA from 1 species